UACGGGGGGGGCAAGCGUUGUUCGGAAUUACUGGGCGUAAAGGGCUCGUAGGUGGCCAACUAAGUCACACGUGAAAUCCCUCGGCUUAACCGGGGAACUGCGUGUGAUACUGGAUGGCUUGAGUUUGGGAGAGGGAUGCGGAAUUCUCGGUGUAGCGGUGAAAUGCGUAGAUAUCGAGAGGAACACCUGCGGCGAAGGCGGGUUGCUGGGCUGACACUGACGCUGAUGCGCGAAAGCCAGGGGAGCGAACGGG
rnacentral:rRNA from 1 species